UAGGGAAUAUUAGUAAUGGGCGAAAGCCUGAACUAGCAACACCGCGUGUGCGAAGAAGGCCUUCGGGUUGUAAAGCACUUUUUGAGAGGAUGAGGAAGGACGGUACUCUCAGAAUAAGUCUCGGCUAACUACGUGCCAGCAGCCGCGGUAACACGUAGGAGGCAAACGUUAUCCGGAUUUACUGGGCGUAAAGCGCGUGUAGGUGGUUUGGUAAGUAGAGCGUGAAAGCUCCGGGCUCAACUGGGAGAGGUCGUUCUAAACUGCCGGACUAGAGGAUGGUAGAGGGAGGUGGAAUUCCGGGUGUAGCGGUGGAAUGCGCAGAUAUCCGGAGGAACACCAGUGGCGAAAGCGGCUUCCUGGACCGAUACUGACGCUGAGACGCGAAAGCGUGGGGAGCAAACA
rnacentral:rRNA from 1 species